rnacentral:rRNA from 1 species
UACGAGUGCCUCAAGCGUUAUCCGGAAUCAUUGGGCGUAAAGGUUGUGUAGGUGGUUGUAUUAGUCUUCUGUUAAAUUCUUCGGCUUAACCGGGGGCAUGCAGGGGAAACGGUACGACUCGAGGAUGCGAGGGGUUAGCGGAACUCAUAGUGUAGCGGUGAAAUGCGUUGAUAUUAUGGGGGAACACCAAAAGCGAAGGCAGCUAACUGGAGCACUCCUGACACUGAAACAAGAAAAGCGUGGGUCGCGAAUGGG